rnacentral:rRNA from 1 species
UACGUAGGUGGCAAGCGUUAUCCGGAAUUACUGGGCGUAAAGCGCACGCAGGCGGCGCAUCAAGUUCGACGUGAAAGCUCCCGGCUUAACUGGGAGAGGUCGUUGAAGACUGAUGUGCUUGAGGCAAUGAGAGGGGUGUAGAAUUCCCGGUGUAGUGGUGGAAUGCGUAGAUAUCGGGGGGAAGUACCAGUGGCGAAAAGCGGCACCCUCAGCAUUAGCCUGACGCUCAUGUGCGAAAGCGUGGGGAGCGAACGGG